rnacentral:lncRNA from 1 species
CGUUUUACAUUCGGGGCGCAAAUUCGGAAUUAACAUUCGGGGUAAAUAGCAUUUUUCUUUUCCCAAUUCAUACAGAAAUAGCUUACAUGCCUUCACUUAAAUAUGUAAUAUAGGUGCUUACAUCUCAGCUUCAAGCUGAGGCAAUCAAAUUUGUAAUUAUCAAAGAUUGAUCAUAUUCCCAAACCGAUAUCGUUGCUGUCACAAUGACCCACAACCGAGACUGGCACCAUGAGAUCCAAACCUUCGCUUCGCUCUGCCACCAAUUUGCCGUAUUCCACUGAGAAUUAGGUCUUGCCACAAUCACCAAUGAAUUCUUCUUCACUACCAUAUUAACAAUCAAACCUAGCAGUAUUCACUCGUUCAAUCUUUGUAUUUACCAUUUAGGUUACUGGUUCAGUCAAUGGACUAAAGUUUAUUUGUUGAUAUUCUUGAAAUUAGGACUUCGCUUCGAUUUUUUAAUUGGCGGAGAUAAGUGUACGUCUCUGAUUUAGGAAUUUGAAUUUCUUGUAAUUUUAUGUUCUCUUUUAUAAUUUUAAAUGUAAACAGUCACAAAUAUUAAAAAAAGUUGGGUGUCAUCACAGUUUUUAAUUGGGUGUUGUAAGAAGGAUAACUCUUCAAUCUAUUUCCGGGCCUCGACUGAUUUCAAAGUGAACCACAUUUAAUGGGCCAAAAUCUGCUAAACGUAAAAGGAUCUUUUAGGAAUUUUUCUCGUGGACUUUUAGAGAUAUCUCAAUACACCCCCAUUUGAAACCAAUAUGCAAGCCUGAUUCAAAGCACAAAAGUACAAAACUUUAAAGAGCACGCCAAGUAAAAAUAUAAAAUGAAACUAAAAAUAAGAAAUAGGAACCAAAAAUAAGACAAUGGAAGACCAAAAUAAUUUUUUAAAAAAGGACUUGAUGGAUGACAUCACACGGCAAAAAUUUUAAAAAAUAUAUAUGUUUCAAAUUUUCUUUUAAUUGUUUUUUUCAUUGAUUUCUUUUCGUUCAAUAAAAAAAUAAUGAGAGAGUGGUGAUGGGCUUUUAAUUGUUAUCUAAUUGUUGUUCUUUGUUUGUUUUUAUUUUAAAAAUAAUAACUCUUCAUCUUUAUCCUUAUUUUUAUUUUAAAUGAGAAAUUAUUAGCCAUAGCUUUUUAAAUUGUCCUAUUAUAAAAAAUAUUGCAGCACUUUCAAGCUGCAUCAUUCAUCCACCCUAAACUUACAAUCUGUAACAUUUAUCUACUAAAUCAUUAGCUUCUGUUAGAAAAUUAACAGAAUUUUAGCAAAAUGACCAUUUUGCCAUUGAGAUUCAAUUUAUUGUAAAAAUACAUAAGGAAAUUAUUAGCUAUAUACCCUAAGUUUAUCUUGUUAUAAAAAAUACUGUAAACAUUUGAAUUUAUUUUAUUUUCUACCAUAAGUUUGUAAACUGUGUCAACUACCCACAAAAUGUUAACAACACAAGAACAUUUAAAAAAAUUAAGUAAAAUAGCCACUUUAUCAUUUAAUUUAAGGGUAUUUUUGACCUUGUACCAUGAAUAAUAGGAAUAAAAUAAAAUUUAGCUUUUUCAAAUUAUGAAAUCGAAUUUCAGAAUUGGAUUGAUUGUGUGUUUAUGAAUUAGGAUUUAAGUAAUUUAUGGAAUUAAUGUGAGCAGAAAAAUAGAGUUUUAAGUGUGUUUAAAUGAAUAUUGGUAAUAAAAAAUAGUAUUGUUUUAUAUUUUAAACUAUUAUUUUAUUUUGUAUUUAGUAUAUUAAAUAUCUAAAUUACCUUUGUGACAUUAUUGAUUACAAACAACGGUUAACAUUUUGGCAGACGUUUGACAUAAAUUACAAACUUAAAGUGAAAAAUUGAACAAAUUCAAUCUUUUAUAAUAUUUUGAUAACAAGAUAAGCUUAAGAUGAAAGACUAAUAAUUUUUUAUUCUGCAUGUUAAAAUAUUUAAAUUACCCUUGUGACGUUAUCACUUUAGAAUGGAAGCUAACCACUGGUAGAUGAACAAUACAUAUUGUAAAUUUAGAGUGGGUAAAUGAUAUAAUUUCAAAGUGUUGAAAAUUUUUUAAUAACAUGAUAAUUUAAGGUUAUGUGGCUAAUAAUUCAUUGAAAGAUCAAAUUAUCCUUAUGUUACUAAUUUUAGACAGCAAAUAACGCAUAUGAAGAUGAGUGAUACCUAGUGUAAAUACUGUGUAAAAUUAAAUAAAUUUCAACUUUUAUAGUAUUUUUAAUGACAUGAUAUUUUAGGAUGGAUAGUUGAUCAUUUCUCAUAACUAAAUAAUAAAAACUAAAAGAGAAAGGAGAAAAAGAAAAGAUUACAAUUUCCCAAACGUAUCAAUCUCUCCCCUGAGCGGGGACAGAGCUCCCUGUAAAUAAUAAUUAAUAUUGAGUUAUCCCUUUCCAAAAGCGAUUAGUAGGAAUAUUAGGCGUUUUUAUCUUUGCACGCAAUAAAUUGUGGACUUACUUGGUGGUGGACACGAGGGAAUGCCAAUAGUAAUAUUGCUUCUUUUCUUUUCUUUUUUUCCUUCUUCUCUUUUUGAUAAAGAAGUAAUAUUGUUUUUGCUUGAAAGAAAGGCAUGCAUUGCCGUGGUUGUUUCACAAACGCAUCUUGCAGUGAGUGGCUAAAGGUGUCCUCUGAUCAUGAAUUGAAAUUUAUUUUAUUAAAAGGACCAGCCGCCAUGAGUCUGUCCAGACUCUUAGUGUUGUCAAGCAACUAGAGAGUAGACACCACCACAAGCUCUUUUAAUUAUAAACUAAUACUGCGUGCGGUUCAAUGGAAAGAGCUCGGCGUAGAAGUCCGUGUCUGCAAGAUUGGCGGCACCUGCGCAAAUUAUUAGUGGGCUGGCUAGUUGGACAACAAACAAAACCCACUAUGGCACUAUUACUUGCUUCUAGCCAGCUUUUGGUUCAAGUUGUGUGCAGCUAAGGCUGUUCGGCAGUACCCAAAAUGGACCUCUCCAAUUUUCAGAGUCCAUACAGAAAUAUAUAUAGCAAUAAAUACAAUACUAUAAGCAAGUUGUUGGAGUGCCUAAAAGCUUAACGAUAAGAAAGAAUGCACUAGAGGCUCGGGCUCAGGCUCAGGCUCACGCCACGUCAAACAUUUAUUCCCAAUCCCACCCCAUGUUCUGCGAUAUGAAUGGAGAAAAUAAACAAACAAAAGGGCAAAAAAAAAAGAAAAAAAACUAAAACGGUCAAUUUUGAGGGAUUACCCAAGCAACUUCCCACCGUUUACCUAAUUGUUGACGUCAAUGAACCGAUUAAAAUCUUAUUUUGGAGAUUUUUCAGCACAAUUGUUAUUGUUAAUUUCACUUGAAGUCGGGGCUGAAAUAGGUUAAAGCACCCGUCAAUUGGAGUUGUUGGUUUGAGACACGUAUGCUGGCACCGAAGUUUCAACGGGGGCCAUUAAAUGGACAACAGCCGACAAGCAAUUGGGUUUUGAAUUCGCACAUAGUACUUCGGCAAUUUUACAAUAGAAUAAGAGUUGAUGAUGAGGACAAUUUAUUUUGCCACUGAAAAUGAAACUCCCAAUUGUAAUUUGACGACAUAGGAUCACUGGUGUCCCAUUUCAAUAAUUUGCCUUCGAUAAACGUCAAUUAAAAUUUUUUAUUAUACUACAAAAACCGGAAUCCGAUCCAAUUGUUAUCCUCAAUUUUGGACUUUUUUACGAAAUUUCAUGUUCCACAUGCCCAAUAAGGCAGGAGCCGAAAAUAAAUCAGACUUUCAACGUGCGUUCCGUACAAAAUACUGACGUAUAAAACCAGACAAUUGUUUUACAAAGAUUUGCGCGGAGGUUCCAACUCCCAACCAUCACCAGACGAGUCUAGACUUACCACGACCGUCCAAGCUAGUGGGGUCCGCCACAUCUACGAUCCUGCGGACCUGCGGUCUAUGCAACUGUUACUGCGGUGCCCGCAAAGAUUACAAAACACGUGUCAUUCACUCAAAACAAGGGGGUCUUUUCAUCUGUAUACGGCUGUACACAGAAAGUAUGGAUUCCGAUCGAGAUUCGCACCUCACGGUACAAUUCUUUUCAACAAGUGUGAACGCCGACUAAGAAAAUAACCGCAGUUAUAAGAAUCCUUGUCGGCUGAAAAACACGUAUUCCCCAAAGUAACCCUGUAAACCCCUCGUUUCCAUUUUACCCCUUAUUUAAUUUGUCACACAAAGUCAACUUGACAACUCAUCUAUGGAAAGUACAUGAAGGACCGUCGUGUCAUUUUGGAGGAAAUAACAACAAAAGUUUGAAAGCUCACGCGUCAAUCUAAAAACAUUCACGUGUCCAUCAAGCUAAGCUUUUGGUUUUAAUUCUUGCCUGUGUGAUCAACAGACUCCCAAAUCAUAUGGCUCCCCGACUCACGCGUGUCCAUUAACCGAACUACUUUCACCGGUAGCCACCAGUUACCGGUCUCCGAGUCCUGACCCUAUAUAUACCGGCUCUCGCCCACUGACUUCAAAAUUUGAUAACUUGCGCGAAAAUAAAUAAUAACUCUUACAGAAGCAAAAACAACAGCAACAAAUUUUAGACUUUUAUUUAUUUAAUUUUGUUUUUUCCUGGAACAUUUGGAUCUUCAGAAAAGAUUUGAAGAGAGGUUUUUGCUGGUUGGUAAAUGGUUGUUGAAGAUGGUAGCUGAAACGGAGAUUGUUUGUUUGCAACAGAGCGUGCCUGUGUUGGAUGUUAAUGUUAAUAACUACUUUCGUAAAGGGAAUAAAAUUGAAGAGAUUCAAGAUAUUGUUACGGUUACGCCGCCGGUUUCUCCGAAAAGUUUUAACCAAGUUCGUGUUUCGGAGCCUGUCUCAACCGACCUGUGCAGCUCUCAAGUGGUUGGUUUCCCUUUCUAGAUAUUCUUGAAUUAUGAUGGGUUCUUUAGUUGAUUACAUGUAGAGCAGUUUUAUGUUUUAUGAUAUCGAAUUGAUUAUUUGCUAUCAGCCGACUUAAAUACUUCAUUUGGAUGAUGUUUUUAUGUUAGUUGCUGAAGAAUUGUUGUUGUAGUGUAGUUUCUUGUUGAAGCAUGAAUUCUAGAGUCUUGUUGGUGAAAAUUAAUUGAUCUUCUCGGUAAUUACUUUUGACACGGGGCUUCCCCUAUUGACUUUAAUCAAUUUGAGAUUUUUUCUUGGACACAGGUUAGUUAUAUGCCAACAAAACUAAUGUAUAUCAUCCAUAGCGACUAAUUUCUUUAAAAACUUUUGAAGAAUACAAUCGGGCUAGGUUAGAUUUGAGGAAUCUGAUUCUUUGAUGAAAAGAUGUGGAAUUCACAUAUUAUGUUUGACUGACUUGACCACUAAUUGGUAAAGCGAUUCAUGUAUCAUGAGAAAAAGGCAUAGCUUUUAGAACUUUACCCAUUUAUUUAUUUAUUUAUUUUGGGUGCAAUUUAACCUUGCACAAGUGCAUUGUUUUCACCUUAGUUGACUGGACAUGAUAGAGGACUGUUUUUGUGAAUAUUACCAUGUGAAUGGAUGAGCUGCAUUAGAUACUUAUUCUCAUCCAUGUGAAUUUGGAACUACUUUCUAUAUAUCCAUGUGUGGUUGGUUUUAUAGUGAAGUUAUUUGUAAUUUCUUUUUGGACAGCUGUUAUCUUCUGAAUCUGAAAUGGUAUACUUAAUGUCAGAUUAAUUUUCUAUUGUAGGAUAUAAAACCUGUAGAAAAAAUUCCAGAUGUGAGUCUUGAGUCUGCCGUCCUGCAAUUUGUCCCCAGCAUUCGUUCUGGUAGUUUUACUGACAUUGGUCCUCGUAGAUACAUGGAAGAUGAGCAUGUAUGCAUAGACGACCUGUCCUCGCACUUGGGACCCUGCUUCAAAUUUCCCAAGCCAAAUGCAUUUUAUGGGGUAAUUAACCUUUUUGUUUUGUACACUUUUUCUGGCUUAAUUUGGUGAAAUUACUUGUUGUAUGUCUGAUGAACGUUAGAUUAUCAGGUGUUUGAUGGUCAUGGCGGUCCUGAAGCGGCAGCAUAUAUUAGGAAAAAUGUGAUGAGAUUUCUUUUUGAAGAUGUUAGUUUCCCCCAGUCUUCUGAAGAAGAUGAUGUUUUCUUGGAAGGGGUGGAAAGCUCCCUUCGGAAAGCAUAUCUUAUGGCUGAUCAAGCUCUGGCUGAUGACUGCAGUGUUAGUAGCUCCUCUGGGACCACAGCCCUUACAGCUAUGAUAUUUGGAAGGUAAAUUCUUUCUUUUGGAUCUUUAAUCCCUCUAUGCACCCUGAUUACGGUUGCCCUUUCUUCUUUCUUCUCUCCCUUGCUGAUUGAUACGUAUUCCUCUUCUUCUUCUUCUUCCAGGUUUCUGAUGGUAGCUAAUGCUGGUGAUUGCCGAGCAGUUCUCUGCCGGAAGGGAGAGGCAAUUGACUUGUCUCAAGACCACAGGCCGAUAUACCCGUCAGAACGUAGGCGGGUGGAAGAGUUGGGUGGGUAUGUUGAUGAUGGGUAUCUGAAUGGUGUUUUAUCAGUCUCCCGGGCCUUGGGAGAUUGGGACAUGAAGCUUCCUCGAGGUUCUUCUUCGCCACUUAUAGCAGAGCCAGAGUUCCAGCAGAUGGUUUUAACAGAAGGUGAUGAGUUUCUCAUUAUUGGCUGUGAUGGAAUCUGGGAUGUUAUGUCAAGUCAGCAUGCAGUUAGCCUUGUGCUCCGAGGACUUCGGCGGCACGAUGACCCUGAGCAAUGUGCCAGGGACCUUGUCAUGGAGGCCUUGCGCCUGAACACAUUUGACAAUCUGACUGUGAUUAUUGUAUGCUUCACUUCCCUUGAUCACAGGGAGCCGUCACCACCUCGGCAACGGAGAAUGAGGUGUUGCAGCCUGUCUGCAGAGGCUCUCUGCAGCCUGAGAAGCUUAUUGGACGGCAAUGACAGCUGUUGAAUGUAAAUACAAUCUAGAAAAAAUCUCCUGAUUAUAGGGGAGGGGGGGUAUUUAUACUGUUUCUGGCUGCUUCAGCCCGAUAUUUUACAAAAAGCAGCUAGCAGUUUUGCAGGUGUGGUCAUGGUUGGUGUACAUAUCGUGACAUGUGGUGGUGGUGGUGGUGAAAUGGGUCCUAUAAUAUAUUAUUUCUGUGUAAAGUCAUUGUGGAUUUUUUAUAGUUGAUGAUCUAAGGUGGUCGCCCGCAUGAUGUCAUUUUUUAUU